GCUUGAGCUGUCACAAUCCUCCAUACUGCCCCAAGUACACUUCUCAACUACGACUCGUCCUUUGAGUUCACCAGGCAAGAUGAAGCUCUACUUUCCACUCCUCUGUUUCCUUCUUCUUACCUCCUCUUUCAUGGAUCCAGCCAUGGCCCUCGCUACUUCACCAUAUUGCAGCGACAAGUGCUCGACGAGGUGUGCAGUAGCAGGAGUUCAGGAUCGAUGCAUGAAGUAUUGUGGGAUAUGCUGUGAAGCGUGCAAGUGUGUGCCGUCUGGGACUUAUGGGAACAAGCACGAGUGCCCUUGCUACAGGGACAAGAAGAACGACAAGGGCAAGCCCAAGUGCCCCUAAUUUAAUUACUCAAAUUUUCUGUGUCUAGUUUAAUCUUUAUGGAGAAUGUUAAUUAGGGUUAAAGUUGGUGCUUUAGUAAUAAUAGCAAGAAUUAGUAGUUGAUCCCUUUUAUGUUUGGUAUGAGUCCAGUUAUAUAGUUUUAUGUUGUGAUCUUGAUCUUGGUUGUUUAUGUCCAAUGGCAGUUGGAUUUUCAUAAAAUAAAUAAAUUAUUUGUCUUCUUUUUUA